UUUAACCUGAGGUAUGUGCAGUUUAACCUGAGGUAUGUGCAGUUUAAACUGAGGUAUGUGCAGUUUAACCUGAGGUAUGUGCAGUUUAGUUUAACCUGAGGUAUGUGCAGUUUAGUUUAACCUGAGGUAUGUGCAGUUUAAGCCUUUAUUUUGAAGGAGGAAAACAUCCUGAGCUGCUGGCUGUCAAGUAAAAAUGAAUAAAUCUAUACUGUCCUAUUGAAGCACUUUUUGAUGUGUUCUUAUUCCUUGUCAGUAUUGUGGAUACUACGGUGUUUGUUCAGUAUUUCCUGUUUGGCUUUUUGUUUACCAGCUAUAUUGGUAUAAAUACUUGUCUUGCGUUAUUUAGCCUUAAAUAGCAGUCGUAGUGUCUUUGAUUGAGAACCUUUUUGAUCGUAUUGUUUUUGAAAUACCGAUAGUUUACAGAGAGCUUGGAGAUGGAUAUCUGUACAAAUAACACUUCUUGUUUUUAGAGUUAGAAUUUAAAUCGAACUGUUAAACCUUUCAGUAGAAUUGGAUGAGAGGAAAAGGAGAUAUCCGUUGGCCACGUUCCUGUGUUCUCGUUGAUCUCCUUGAGAUCUGAAUGACAUCAAACUUAUUUUUGAAGUUUGCAUUUACCCUGUUGUAUUAAAAACAAACGUAGAGUUGUCAGACUGUAGUCUCCCCCCCACCACCACAUGUUUAGUCUGAAUCUGAAGUUCAGUGACAAACUGCCCACGUUUUACAAAGGAAGCGCUGGGUCAUAUUUACACACCAGUGGAUGUUUAACUGUAUUUAUUGUGUACAAAUAAAUGUGAAAUAAAGAUAGCUUCAAUGAAACAA